UACGUAGGGGGCUAGCGUUGUCCGGAUUUAUUGGGCGUAAGGAGCGUGUAGGCGGCCAUGUAGGUCCGGUGUGAAAACUCGAGGCUUAACCUCGAGAUGUCAUCGGAAACCAUUUGGCUAGAGUCCGGAAGAGGAGAGUGGAAUUCCUGGUGUAGCGGUGAAAUGCGCAGAUAUCAGGAAGAACACCCGUGGCGAAGGCGGCUCUCUGGGACGGUACUGACGCUGAGACGCGAAAGCGUGGGGAGCGAACAGG
rnacentral:rRNA from 1 species